UAAAAGCCCCCCCACACUGUAAAACUAUCAUAAACAUCUCUCUUCUCUUUCAUCAAAUAUCUAUCUGCAAACAUUACAAACAAACAGUCCCCAAUUUGUUCUUUAGUUUUAUGAUCUUUUGGAAAAACAAAAAUUAAGGAUGUUUGAAUUGUUUGUGCUAGGAUGUACUGGUGUUGUCAUGUUCCUUCAUGGAGCUAAUUUCUUCUUCCAUGCUCUCUCUCAACAUAUGGCCAUUCGUUCCCUCAGCUUCUUAGGAUUUGUUGGUUGGUGAAGAUGAUGAUGAGCUAAAGUAAGGUUGCACCAACAGCAAUGUUAUUUUGUAAAUAUAUUUCAUUUUUUCAGUUUCUUUUACCUUUUUUUAUAAGACAAAUGUUACUUAUAUUGUUGUAGACUAGAAGAAAAUGGAAAGAGAAUACCUAUGAUGAAAAGGGCUUUUAAGUGUGUUAACGUAUAGCUUUGGACCCAUCAAAGUGAACUGCAAGGAUGGAGAGGCCUGUUUUCUGUGGCGAUGACCAAGAGGAAGAUCACCAUAUGCUGGAGCCCACUGCCGAGGUAACUGAAAUUCUAAAAAUUGUUCAAGUUCCUCGAUUGGCGGUUUAUCUGCAAAAAGAAUAUUCAUUAUCAGAGAUAAGAAGCUGUUUAUAGUUAUGUAGCUCUAAAUGAAAUAAAUGGAAAAGAAUUUCACAACUAUUGACACGAAAACAAAUUUGAUAUUCCUAAAACACACAAAGAAAGAUAUUCUUUCAUAGAAGUCAUAUAUGUUUAAACUGUGGGAGGGCUUCCACAGAGUAGGAGUGUAAUAGUCACGUGUUCUGCUCUCACAAAACUGAAGACAUUUGCAAAGAUCAAGUAAAAAAGAUAGGAUUUGUAACCCAAACAAUUCUACAGAAACUGGUGAUGGAAACUGAAAGCACAAAUUGAAGCAGGAUAACUUCUCCAAUUGCCAAAAUGCUUUACCCAACUUUUUGUAAGAUCGAGUGUGUAUUUUUGUUCAUGUCCACGUGAUAGAACUCUUCAACUGUUUUUGUACUGUUAUCAAUCCAGUGAUGCUUUGUUUGUUCAAUAAGCUAAUGCAAAUAGCCUAAUUGUAUUCCAAUACAUUUUUAUAUUUAUGAAAUACAUGAAAAAUAGCAACUACAA